rnacentral:rRNA from 1 species
UGGGGAAUUUUGGACAAUGGGCGAAAGCCUGAUCCAGCAAUGCCGCGUGUGUGAAGAAGGCCUUCGGGUUGUAAAGCACUUUUGUCCGGAAAGAAAUGGCUCUGGUUAAUAUCUGGGGUCGAUGACGGUACCGGAAGAAUAAGGACCGGCUAACUAUGUGCCAGCAGCCGCGGUAAUACGUAGGGUCCAAGCGUUAAUCGGAAUUACUGGGCGUAAAGCGUGCGCAGGCGGUUGUGCAAGACCGAUGUGAAAUCCCCGAGCUUAACUUGGGAAUUGCAUUGGUGACUGCACGGCUAGAGUGUGUCAGAGGGGGGUAGAAUUCCACGUGUAGCAGUGAAAUGCGUAGAGAUGUGGAGGAAUACCGAUGGCGAAGGCAGCCCCCUGGGAUAACACUGACGCUCAUGCACGAAAGCGUGGGGAGCAAACAUG